UGAAAACUAAAACUCUGCAAGAAAUUGAAUAAGCAUAUUUUCCAGAAUGUUAAACUAGUCCUUUUAAUUACUUCUUUUAAACCGUGUUGCUGCUGUUGCACCAGUCCAGCACAUCUCUGUCUGCUGAAGGUACUUUGUCAGAAAGUUAGCACAAGGCACAAACUGUCAGAAGCAACAAAUGAGAAGGCUCCCAUAAACUUGCUAAAUAAAGCAAAUCAGACAUUAAAGGAGCACCCAAGCACUUUAGUAUUGCAUUUCAGUAAGUAUAGGGACUUGUAAGAGAGAGAUUAAAAUGAGAAAGGUCAAAAAUCAUUGUAGCAGAGUUGGAGACAUUUUACUGUUUUCACAGCCUGACUAGUCCCUUACAACUGAAAUAACUCGUGUGUAGAAAUUUGGUGACGUGCCCCUUUUAUUUGUAUGAAAGCCAGCCUGCAUACAUACAGUAUAUAUAUCCAUGUGUGUGUGUGUGUGUGUUUGGUCGAACAUACCUCAAAACCCCACACAACAAAACAGUGCCUGAGGGACGUUCUCUCAUCUUGUCCACAUGUAGAAACUCAAUGCCCUGCUCAUCUUAAAAUGCAGUAAUUUAUGUCUCUUCAUUUUUAACCUUGAGGGGGUUCAUGGUUUCCUCUUAGUUUUUUUAGUGUUUGUUUAGUGUACAUCUGAUAGUGAAUAUCAAGAUUAUUGUCGUUAUCAUGCAGUGCUUUGGAGCUUUAUUAGAUUAAGCCUUAAAGUUUCCCCUCAUGCCUCAAUGUUAAAUGUCCCAUACGAAGUGCUACGACACACUGCCUUUUUUGUAGUGAUGGUGCUAAAAAUAAUGAUAUGGAGGGGUGGAUGUAGAGUGGCUGGGGUGGGGCAGUGCUAUAUUAGUGUUUACUUGUCCACCUGACUAUUGUACGUGGCGCUCUUAACCUCUCAUCGUAUUUAGAUAUCUCAGGCCUUUGAGCUUUAUUAUUGUCUGUUUGUUGGAAAAGGAAUUAUUUGUUGGGACCUGUUUGCA